AUGACUGGGCCUGAAUCUGCCAGCUCAGGAAAGGGCUGGAAUGGAUGGAGUGCAUUGCUCUGGGAGAGGAGACCCAGCCUUGGGAUUCCCAGCUCUCUCCACUUGGUGAUCGGCACUGAAUACAGGAGACUCACCACGGAGUUUGGGCUGAGCUGGGUUUUCCUUGUUGCUAUUUUAAAAGGGGAUUCAUGGAAAACUAGAGAUAUUGAGUGUGUCCAGUGUGAGGUGCAGCUGGUGGAGUCUGGGGGAGGCCUGGUCCAGCCUGGGGGGUCCCUGAGACUCUCCUGUGCAGCCUCUGGAUUCACCUUCAGUAGUUCUGCUAUGCACUGGGUCCGCCAGGCUUCUGGGAAAGGACUGGAGUGGGUUGGACGUAUUAGAAGCAAAUCUAACAAUUACGCGACAGACUACGCUGCGUCGGUGAAAGGCAGGUUCACCAUCUCCAGAGACAAUUCAAAGAACACGGCCUAUCUGCAAAUGAACAGCCUGAAAACGGAGGACACGGCCGUGUAUUACUGUGCUAGAGACACAGUGAGGGGAGGUCAGUGUGAGCCCAGACGCAAACCUCCCUGCAGGGGCGCGCGGGGCCACCAGGGGGCGCUCGGGACCCACUGA